rnacentral:rRNA from 1 species
UACGAAGGGGCUAGCGUUGCUCGGAAUUACUGGGCGUAAAGGGCGCGUAGGCGGACAGUUAAGUCAGAGGUGAAAGCCCAGGGCUCAACCCUGGAAUAGCCUUUGAUACUGGCUGUCUUGAGUGCGGGAGAGGUGUGUGGAACUCCGAGUGUAGAGGUGAAAUUCGUAGAUAUUCGGAAGAACACCAGUGGCGAAGGCGACACACUG